CCUACGGGAGGCAGCAGUGGGGAAUCUUGCACAAUGGGCGAAAGCCUGAUGCAGCAACGCCGCGUGCGGGAAGAAGGCCCUCGGGUUGUAAACCGCUUUCAGAAGGAACGAAACUGACGGUACUUUUAGAAGAAGGUGCGGCCAACUACGUGCCAGCAGCCGCGGUAAU
rnacentral:rRNA from 1 species